GAAACAAGUUCUCACUAAGUUUCCCAGGCUGGGCUCAAACUUUUGAUCUUUCUGCCUCAGCCUUCUGAGUAGCUGGAAGUAACAGAAGUGUGCUACCAUGACUGGCUAGUGAUUAGUUAUGGAGGAGCAUGAAGAUUAAGGACAUCCCAGCCAUCUGCUGCAGUGAUCUCUUUUCUUUCUUGCUCAGGUGCAUGUCUCUCACGUUAGGUGGUUUAACAAUGUCAGUUCCUCUCAGAUUCUACUCCAUUUUUCUUCUCUCCUGCACUAGCGUCUAAGCCUCGGUCCGCCAGCAGCCCCCCUCAGAUGUUGCUUAAUCUGUCUUACAGGCAGAGCUCUUCCCGUUACUGUCCCCCUGUCACCCAAGGGAUUCCAGUCUUCAUGCAGAGUUGGACUGCAAAAGGUGAAUGCAGGAAACUCUAAUAUCUGGAAAUGGCCUCUCUCAUCAAGAGAAGUCCUCAGUGCUGGCCAGCACCCCUGGAGAUGCACAUCCCGCCUUUCUCAGGAUAGCUGCUGGGAGGUACAGUGAGGGCGCCAGGUCCUCUAACUGGAUUUCAGUUCUGAACCUGUCAGCAGGAGGGAAACUUGUGGUGUUUCCUGUCAGAAGGCGAGUUAGCCUUGAACCGUUUCACCCAUCCUGUCACUAGCCAAUGGCCCGUAGCCAUUCGACACCUGAGUGACUGCUGAACCAGGAGUGACCGGACAUUUCUUUGUAGUCUGGCUGUGUUAAGUUGUGGUCGAAUUACAACCACAGACAGGUUCCCUGCAGAUCCUGGAGUUGGCAACUAACCAACAAAAGCAUUCUGAAAAAUUGAUUAUGUAUAGACUUACAAUAAAGAGCAUUGUACAUUUUAUUUUUAUUUGUAAAUCAUGUGCUGCGCAUUGUUUUAGUCCAUAAGGUUUGUAAUAAAUUUACAUACAUAUAUACAUA